UACGUAGGGUGCGAGCGUUGUCCGGAAUUAUUGGGCGUAAAGAGCUCGUAGGCGGUGUGUCACGUCGGCCGUGAAAACCUGCAGCUUAACUGUGGGCGUGCGGUCGAUACGGGCAUCACUGGAGUUCGGCAGGGGAGACUGGAAUUCCCGGUGUAGCGGUGAAAUGCGCAGAUAUCGGGAAGAACACCCGUGGCGAAGGCGGCUCUCUGGGACGGUACUGACGCUGAGACGCGAAAGCGUGGGGAGCGAACAGG
rnacentral:rRNA from 1 species